rnacentral:rRNA from 1 species
CCUACGGGUGGCAGCAGUGAGGAAUAUUGGUCAAUGGACGAGAGUCUGAACCAGCCAAGUAGCGUGAAGGAUGACUGCCCUAUGGGUUGUAAACUUCUUUUAUAUGGGAAUAAAAUGUUCCACGUGUGGGAUUUUGUAUGUACCAUAUGAAUAAGGAUCGGCUAACUCCGUGCCAGCAGCCGCGGUAAUACGGAGGAUCCGAGCGUUAUCCGGAUUUAUUGGGUUUAAAGGGAGCGUAGGUGGAUUGUUAAGUCAGUUGUGAAAGUUUGCGGCUCAACCGUAAAAUUGCAGUUGAAACUGGCAGUCUUGAGUACAGUAGAGGUGGGCGGAAUUCGUGGUGUAGCGGUGAAAUGCUUAGAUAUCACGAAGAACUCCGAUUGCGAAGGCAGUUCACUGGACUGCAACUGACACUGAGGCUCGAAAGUGUGGGUAUCAAACAGGAUUAGAUACCCGAGUAUUC